CCUACGGGUGGCAGCAGUGAGGAAUAUUGGUCAAUGGGCGCGAGCCUGAACCAGCCAAGUAGCGUGAAGGAUGACUGCCCUACGGGUUGUAAACUUCUUUUAUAAAGGCAUAAAGUGAGGCACGUGUGCCUUUUUGUAUGUACUUUACGAAUAAGGAUCGGCUAACUCCGUGCCAGCAGCCGCGGUAAUACGGAGGAUCCGAGCGUUAUCCGGAUUUAUUGGGUUUAAAGGGAGCGUAGAUGGGUUGUUAAGUCAGUUGUGAAAGUUUGCGGCUUAACCGGAAAAUUGCAAUUGAUACUGUUAGCCUAGAGAACAGAUGAGGUAGGCGGAAUGCGUGGUGUAGCGGUGAAAUGCUUAGAGAUCACGAAGAACUCCGAUUGCGAAGGCAGCUUACUAAUCUGCCACUGACAUUGAUGCUCGAAAGUGUGGGGAGCAAACAGGAUUAGAUACCCUUGUAGUC
rnacentral:rRNA from 1 species